ensembl:lncRNA
CAGGCAUCUGACCUUUGUGAAGAAAAUUUAUAAAAAGCACUGAUGUUUGGUGUUUUUGUUAUUGAUAUAAAGUGGGACACAAAAUGGGGUUAAAAUACAACAAGAGAUGCUCUCCUGUUGUAUUCUACAAGUGUUUUAACAGUAAUAUCCAUAAUCCCAACCAUGGUAUGAUCGAUAUGCUUGCAGCUGAUAUUAACUAUAUUUUCACGUGUUUGUUUUCUGUCCCAGAAUCGUAUCCCAGAUCAGAACAGACGUCUCCCCCGAACAGCUAAGAGUCCCAGAAGAGAAGCAAUGCAACAACCUACAAAUCUCAAAACAUCCACUAAGCAAGUUAAACUGCUUGUCACAUUGCAAUGAAUUCAAAACUAUUAGGCCUAAUCAGAGAUCUGAUGAUGGCAGCAAAGACUGCCUGCACACAUCACUUGUUUUUUCUCUGAGCAACUGCUGAUUUUUGCCACUGUAUAGUGAGCUUGUGAAAUUAAAUUUCCCAAUGCAUUCUGUGCAUUGCGCGCUCACUUGCAGCAAUGCUGUAAAACAGUUUAAUGCCAUUUUAAAUUUUCAGUCCAGAAAACAGCAGAGAUACUAAUGGAAUAUCACCACCACAACCAGACAUACAGCGUAUACAUAUCCCUAAUCAUGCGAUGGUGGAAUCACAUAUUCAGGAAGACUCACAAGCUGGACAGCGGCUACUACUUAAGAGUUGGUAAUUAGUUCUGUUACUUGAAACAAGCAUCGCUUUCACGUUAGCAGAUGGAUAUAGAUUAUAGCAUUCCUAUCUGAACACAUACAAUGCAGCUUUGUCAGGUGCUUCCUGGAUCUUCCCAUUAAGCACAAGAUAUCCUUUAGUGUUGGUGCUUUGGCACUAUAGCUGCGCUACAUUGGCUGCUGAGGCGUAACAGCAACUUUUAACAUGAGUGCAAAGGCCUAGUGAGGAUGUAGAGGUGAUGAUGGCACAUUUUACUGGCUUGACUGCCAAGAGACCCUGAUUUGUACCCCAUUCAUAGCUGUGUGUUUUAUUCUUUGUUUUUGUUUUUUUUUACCUCGGUUUAUGCUCUCAGAUCCACUCACUGGUUAGGUUUAGGCACUAAAGACUAUUUGGUUAAGGUUAGUGAACCCUGCUCCUUGACAAAUGAUGCGUUGCAAGCGAUUGAUGGCUCAUUUAUACAAUAACCCAGUGUGUCACAGCAAACAUGCCAAAGGACGCUUUGAGCAUAAAUUAGUUACGGUUUAGCUACAAUACGUGGUACUGAUUGGCACCUUGGAGAUAAAGACAAAUACUUUAGUCAAAGCAAUUGACAUCAGUUUAAUUUGUGUCAGUGAUGAUUUGUUAGGAGACCUGAUAGAUGAGUGAUUAGAGUUCUCAAACUCUUAGACAAUAGCCGCUUCCCAGUGUUGUCAGCAUACACUCAGCUUUGUGCAGGAAAAAGCACAAAUAUAUAUACUACAUAUACACAUAUAUAUAUAUAUAUUUACAUGUAUGUCAAAGUAUAUCUAAACAGCAGCCACAGCUGUUCUUUUUAUUGUUGAAAAGUUGAGUUAAUUGUCUUGGGAAAAAAUGCCAUAUUAUUUACCAAUGCUUCAUCAAAUGAAAUAUUUUCUGCUUCUACAAGUUAAAUUUACAGCUUAUAACUGACAUGACACUGACAGUGAUGAUGUAAUGUACCUUCAGCAGAUUUUUUUUUUUUUAAUUGCUUCAUGACUGAGUCUGUGUCCUGAUGCACAGAUUUUUCUUUCUUUCUUUUUUCUUUUAAAUCUCCAGUAAAACAUCUAAACAAACCUGCGUUAGAUGUGGACAGAAUGCCAGUAGAGACAUUUCUGUGCGCUUGUGCAUUUGUUGUUUUUGUUUUGGGGUUUUUUGUCAGCUUAAAUUGAAGCUGACUUUAACUCAGAGAAAGGAGAAUAUUUUGCUGUGUAGACACAACCAGUUAACCUGUCAGCGCGUCAACCAGCAGCAGAAACUCAGUGUUUGACUGUAUUUAAAUGUUGCUUUCAUACAAGAUCCAGCCCAGCCUACAUUUUACCCCGAAUGUAUAUAAAAAAAAUCUAUUGACAGGCCUAUGAUUAUAUUUUAUACUAGAAUGUUAAAUGUUAUAUACUGUAAAGAACUGUAAUAGUACACACGUGCAAUCCUUAGACAUAGUACAUGCAAGAGUUUGACAUAUGGUAUUAAAAAAAAUUGCGCAUCAUUUCUUAAACUUUUUUUUUUAAGUGAGAAUCCACUGAAAAGCAGAAAUCUUUGUUUCUGAUCAAGAGAUGUUUAAUAAAUCUGUGUGGUCUGGUUUCCAGUCAUACUAUUGAACAUUGUAUAUUAUUUCCCAUUUGCCAUAUUUCAAAAUGAAUUUCAUAAAUACAUUAAAGUGCGCAGGGAUUUCAUGUUCCUAAAUUGAACAACCAGACAUUGUAAUGAUAAUAUAUCAAAAUGAGUUUGUUUUUUGGUGGAUUCUCUUUAUGUGCAGCGAGUACUUGACAGUACAGAAGCACAGACAAACCAAAGGUAAUUUUAUGCCCAAAAUGAUGUUUAUAAUUGUAAAUGUUUUAUGGAAGACAUAUAUUUCAUUAUUUUUCAACCAGCUGGUUCUCUUCAUUAGGCCGUUACAGUUAACAGGCCAAUGUGUUCUACUGUACUUAUAGGAUAUGUACAAUCUAUAGUCUGCAGCAGAUCCUUACAUAGCACUUAUAUAUUUUAAAGGGGACCUAUUAUGCUAAUUUCUAGUUCAGUAUUUUUAUGUUUUACUUUGCUAGAGUAGCUUUGCAUGAUUCAUAGUUCAAAAUAAUUCACAUUUUUUCUCAGACUGGGCCUUGAUGCAGCCCUCCAAUUCUUUCUGUCUGAAAUGAGCCAUUUUAUGGCCGUUCUCCCUUUAAGUCAUCUUUCUUCUGAUUGGCUGCCUAUCGCAAACAGAAGAAGUGUCAGAAACUGAGUGUUUAGAGCCUGAAUUAUAAAGUGACCAGGAUUACAUGUACAUACACUAACCUCGUGUUUUGAAAUUUUAGCCAUGUUUCUUAUAUGCAUCCACCUCAGUAUAUAUUUGACAGAAAUUCAGGAGGGAAAAAAGCAUAAUAGGUCCGCUUUACAAAAAGAUCCCACAGAUCAGGCCUGUUGUAGAGAAACAUCUUUGAAGAAAUGUAAUAGUAUAAUAUGCACUGAUACGUCAUGCAAUCCCUUGUUAAGUGCCUUUUAAAAAUGUUUACCAUCUGUUUUUGUGUCUGGGAACCUCAGGGGAAGUUAGGAGUGCAAUGGCUUCUUUUAUUGUCUUGUCAAUGAUUAACCUGAAUCUGCUUCCCUUCGAUCACCAUCUGACCGCUUUUGCUUUUAUCUGAAGCCUUCGUAAAGUUGACAGGCCCUUCGUGUUUUAUUUGAAUCCUCCCACUACGUUGUUUUUCAUUUAUGUGACUUUUUUUUGUAGAUCUGUCAGUUUUAUUGCAGCUUCCUGUACAACAUAAAACCAGGAAUAAAUGGGAUGGAAAC